AGUAACGCGUGAGCAAUCUGCCUUUGGAUGGGGGAUAACAGCCGGAAACGGCUGCUAAUACCGCAUAAUGCAACGGGACCGCAUGGUUCUGCUGCCAAAGAUUUAUUGUCCAAAGAUGAGCUCGCGUCUGAUUAGCCAGUUGGCGGGGUAACGGCCCACCAAAGCGACGAUCAGUAGCCGGACUGAGAGGUUGAACGGCCACAUUGGGACUGAGACACGGCCCAGACUCCUACGGGAGGCAGCAG
rnacentral:rRNA from 1 species